GACGAACCGUGCGAACGUUGUUCGGAAUCACUGGGCUUAAAGGGCGCGUAGGCGGGCGGCGAAGUCCGGGGUGAAAUCUUUCGGCUCAACCGGAAAAGUGCCUUGGAAACCAGCCGCCUUGAGGGAGGUAGGGGUAUGUGGAACUUCCGGUGGAGCGGUGAAAUGCGUUGAUAUCGGAAGGAACGCCGGUGGCGAAAGCGACGUACUGGACCUCUUCUGACGCUGAGGCGCGAAAGCUAGGGGAG
rnacentral:rRNA from 1 species